rnacentral:rRNA from 1 species
GAUGAACGCUGGCGGCGUGCCUAAUACAUGCAAGUCGAGCGAACGGACGAGAAGCUCGCUUCUCUGAUGUUAGCGGCGGGCGGGUGAGUAACACGUGGAUAACCUACCUAUAUGACUGGGAUAACUUCGGGAAACCGGAGCUAAUACCGGAUAAUAUUAUGAACCGCAUGGUGCAAAAGUAAAUGACGGUCUUGCUGUCACUUAUAGAUGGUUCCGCGCUGCAUUAGCUAGUGGGUAAGGUAACGCCUUACCAAGGCAACGAUGCAUAGCCGAGCUGAGAGGGUGAUCGGCCACACUGGAACUGGGACACGGUCCAGACUCCUACGGGAGGCAGCAGUAGGGAAUCUUCGGCAAUGGGCGAAAGCCUGACGCAGCAAUGCCGCGUGGGUGAAGAAGGUCUUCGGGUCGUAAAGCUCUGUUAUUAGGGAAGAACAUAUGUGUAAGUAACUGUGGACAUCUUGACGGUACCUAAUCAGUAAGCCACGGCUAACUACGUG